UUGACACGAAGCUACCACCAACAAUGCUCCUACGCUCUUUUGAAGCACUGAUCCCACAACUAAAUAUUAGAAAAUGGACCACUGCAGGCUUAACACAUUUACACCAACUCAUGGAUAAUGAUAAAUACAUAGCCUUUACUUCACUACAAAAAGAGUUCCAACUACCACCUGCAGCGGAGUUCGCACAUAGACAGAUAAUAUCGUGGAUAGGAAGAAAUAGAGGGUCACCAUACACCGCAGAAACAAAGAGAAAUAUGGAGGCAUUACGACAACUGUGCACUAACU